rnacentral:rRNA from 1 species
ACUCAAAGGAAUUGACGGGAGCCCGCACAAGCAGUGGAGUAUGUGGUUUAAUUCGAUGCAACGCGAAGAACCUUACCAGGACUUGACAUCCGCGGAAUCCGGCGUAAUGGCCGGAGUGCCCUUCGGGGAGCCGCGAGACAGGUGGUGCAUGGUUGUCGUCAGCUCGUGUCGUGAGAUGUUGGGUUAAGUCCCGCAACGAGCGCAACCCUUACGGUUAGUUGCUACGCAAGAGCACUCUAGCCGGACUGCCGUUGACAAAACGGAGGAAGGUGGGGACGAUGUCAAAUCAUCAUGCCCCUUAUGUUCUGGGCCACACACGUACUACAAUGGCGUCCAACAGCGGGGCGCGAAGGCGCGAGCCGGAGCAAAACCCAAAAAGACGCCCCAGUUCAGAUUGCAGGCUGCAACUCGCCUGCAUGAAGUCGGAAUUGCUAGUAAUCGCGGAUCAGAAUGCCGCGGUGAAUACGUUCCCGGGCUUUGUACACACCGCCCGU